rnacentral:rRNA from 1 species
UACGGAGGGUGCAAGCGUUGUCCGGAAUCACUGGGCGUAAAGGGCGCGUAGGCGGCUCUGCACGUCCGUUGUGAAAUCGCCCGGCUCAACUGGGCGGGGUCAGCGGAUACGGCGGAGCUUGAGCAAGCUAGGGGGCAAUGGAAUUCCCGGUGUAGUGGUGGAAUGCGUAGAUAUCGGGAGGAACACCAGUGGCGAAGGCGGUUGCCUGGGGCUUUGCUGACGCUGAUGCGCGAAAGCGUGGGGAGCGAUCCGG